rnacentral:rRNA from 1 species
UACAGAGGUGGCAAGCGUUGUUCGGAAUUACUGGGCGUAAAGGGCGCGUAGGCGGCCUUCUAAGUCAGACGUGAAAUCCCCCGGCUUAACCUGGGAACUGCGUCUGAUACUGGGGGGGCUUGAGUAUGGGAGAGGGAUGUAGAAUUCCAGGUGUAGCGGUGAAAUGCGUAGAUAUCUGGAGGAAUACCGGUGGCGAAGGCGGCAUCCUGGACCAUAACUGACGCUGAGGCGCGAAAGCUAGGGGAGCAAACGGGG